rnacentral:rRNA from 1 species
CCCUUAGAUGUUCUGGGCCGCACGCGCGCUACACUGUUCGACGCAGCGAGUCUUAACCUUGACCGAAAGGUUUGGGUAAUCUUCAGCAAAGUCGAACGUGAUGGGGAUCGAUCAUUGCAAUUAUUGAUCGUGAACGAGGAAUUCCUAGUAAGUGCAAGUCAUCAGCUUGCGCUGAUUACGUCCCUGCCCUUUGUACACACCACCCGUCGCUACUACCGAUUGAAUGGUUUAGUGAGAUCUCUGGAUUGACGCUGGCUAGGGGGCGACCCUUGGCCAGACUGCUCGAGAAACUGCUCAAACUUGAUCAUUUAGAGGAAGUAAAAGUCGUAACA